AGAGGAAGAAGCAUUUCCGAGCAGAGAGGCCCCCGUGGGCUCUGCUGAAGUCUAGAAUCCCCCUUUCUCACCGCCAAGUGAAGAAGAGAAUCUGCGCUCAACCCAGUGUGAAGCCCUGGAUGUUCCUGAAACUAGCUCUUUAGACCAGGCUGGACUUGAACUCAGAAAUCUGCCUACCUCUGCCUCCAAGUGCUGGGACUAAAGC
rnacentral:lncRNA from 1 species